AAUCCAUAGGUUAAUGAGGCGAACCGGGGGAACUGAAACAUCUAAGUACCCCGAGGAAAAGAAAUCAACCGAGAUUCCCCCAGUAGCGGCGAGCGAACGGGGAGGAGCCCAGAGCCUGAAUCAGCAUGUGUGUUAGUGGAAGCGUCUGGAAAGGCGCGCGAUACAGGGUGACAGCCCCGUACACAAAAGCGCAUGUGCUGUGAGCUCGAUGAGUAGGGCGGGACACGUGGUAUCCUGUCUGAAUAUGGGGGGACCAUCCUCCAAGGCUAAAUACUCCUGACUGACCGAUAGUGAACCAGUACCGUGAGGGAAAGGCGAAAAGAACCCCGGCGAGGGGAGUGAAAAAGAACCUGAAACCGUGUACGUACAAGCAGUGGGAGCACCCUUUGGGUGUGACUGCGUACCUUUUGUAUAAUGGGUCAGCGACUUAUAUUCUGUAGCAAGGUUAACCGAAUAGGGGAGCCGGAGGGAAACCGAGUCUUAAUUGGGCGUUAAGUUGCAGGGUAUAGACCCGAAACCCGGUGAUCUAGCCAUGGGCAGGUUGAAGGUUGGGUAACACUAACUGGAGGACCGAACCGACUAAUGUUGAAAAAUUAGCGGAUGACCUGUGGCUGGGGGUGAAAGGCCAAUCAAACCGGGAGAUAGCUGGUUCUCCCCGAAAGCUAUUUAGGUAGCGCCUCGUGAAUUCAUCUCCGGGGGUAGA
rnacentral:rRNA from 1 species